UGGGGAAUAUUGCACAAUGGGCGAAAGCCUGAUGCAGCGACGCCGCGUGAGGGAUGACGGCCUUCGGGUUGUAAACCUCUUUCAGUAGGGACGAAGCGCAAGUGACGGUACCUGCAGAAGCAGCACCGGCUAACUACGUGCCAGCAGCCGCGGUAAUACGUAGGGUGCGAGCGUUGUCCGGAAUUACUGGGCGUAAAGAGCUCGUAGGCGGUUUGUCACGUCGUCUGUGAAAUCCUAGGGCUUAACCCUGGACGUGCAGGCGAUACGGGCUGACUUGAGUACUACAGGGGAGACUGGAACUUCGGGUGUAGCGGUGGAAUGCACAGAUAUCAGGAAGAACACCGAUGGCGAAGGCAGGUCUCUGGGUAGUAACUGACGCUGAGGAGCGAAAGCAUGGGUAGCGAACAGG
rnacentral:rRNA from 1 species